UUAAGACUUGCAGUGAUGUUCACUUUGCAACUUCAUGAACAUCACCCCAAGUCUGCUCC
rnacentral:pre_miRNA from 1 species